rnacentral:rRNA from 1 species
GACUUGUGUGCCUUGUUGCGUCAGCGGUCUGCCUUCAAAAGAGGGUUCCGACAUGCGGCAAUGGGGCCUUUGAAUUUUCAACUUGUUGGCGUCUGGUCUUAAUUGGUCGGGCGUUUGGCAUCGGUUGAUCGUUUACUGUGAGAAAAUUAGAGUGUUCAAGGCAGGCAUGAUAUGCAAUUGAAUAUGUUAGCAUGGAAUAAUAAGAUAAGGCUUUCGGCUUCUAUUUUGUUGGUUUCUAGAUCGGAAGUAAUGAUUGAGAGGGGCAGUUGGGGGUGCUAGUAUUGAGCGGCCAGAGGUGAAAUUCAUGGAUUCGCUCAAGACUAACUUAUGCGAAAGCAUU